UAUAUAUAAUAUAUAAAGAAAUAAAAUAAUUAUUGAGAAAACGCUAGUAUUAUUGAGUAAAUUAUUCUUAUAUUAUCGGUCUUAUUCUCUUGACCCGAAGGUCAUUUAAAUAAAUAUGUAAAUUGUCCUGAAGGCCUUAGUAUAAUACUAUAAGAUAGAUUACCAUUAUAACCUUGCAUAAAAUAAGAAAUUCACCCGUUACCAAUUAUUAUAUCCCAACUUCUCCACCACAAACUCUCAGAGAAACAGUAAAUCUGAGAUUUCUUCAUCGUCCCAUUCCUUCGUCGUAAUUUCUUUUAUCGUCAAAUUGAAUCAUAAUCAUCAAUUAUAUCUCUGUAGAUCUGAAGUUUUAAAUGUGAAAGAUAAAACCUAGAAAAAAUAAGAAAGUAAUUGAAUCAUCUGAUUAAGAAGUACAAGAAGCAUUAAAUCAAUUCAUAAAUGGAAAACGAAAGCAGAAAAGUCAAAACCUAUCAACAACAAACGUGUAAAAUUUAGCGAAGAAAUUGAAGUAGAAACUGAAUCAGAUGAAGAAAAAAUUGAAUCAUCUAAAAAUCAACUAAAAAGAACAAGAAAAGAUUAGUGGUGGUCCUUGGAAACUACUUCAUUGUUCAUACUAUUCACAAAAAUUAUUAAUCAUCAUGUAGUUUAUUUUGUUCCUUUAUGCAAUUGGUGAGUAGAUUUCUGUAAAGGUAUUAACCUGAUCCAACAAUUUUGUUACUCGAGGACAAUACUUGCACAUAUAUGUAUUAGUUACAGAGAAGCAACUAGACAAAUUGGCAUAGAAAUGGAAGUCGAUGAAGAAAUUGGUGUUUGUGAAUAUAUCCUACAAAGAAAUGGAAGCCGAUGAAGAAUAAGUCUCUAAGGAGGAGCCUUAAUGAUGGAAAGCACCUAGGGACGCCUGAUGGUGUUCUGAUUAAUGGAAAGGGACCAUACUAAUACAACAACAUGUUUGUUCCCGAUGACAUCUGUUAUGCAACUUUCAAAGUCGAACCAGUUUCUGAAGGUAACUCUAAGAAGAAGAAAUGUAAGAUAGGUAACGUAAAAAAAAAUGUCGUACCAUCUAAAAAAUCUAAUAAAAAUGCUGGGACCAUCUAAGAAAGUUUAUUCUGGGGAUUUGCCAUACAGAGCGGGUUUGUCUGCUUUGACUGCUCUCGCGAAUGCUAUGAAAGAACAAGAGCUGAAAUUGAAUGUUGAACAAAUGGAGGUACUUAAAGAGUCUCCCUUUUAUGACAAAUGGAGGUACUUAAAGAGUCUCCCUUUGAUGACAAUGGAAAAUGACUACACUUCAGCAACUUGGGACAAAAUUGAUGAAGCUUUCACAAAGUUUUUUGAAGUGCUUCAAAGAAGCAAAAAUAAAAGAAAUAAAGUUCGAAUUUGUAUAAAACCUGUACAUAAAAACACAAGUGUAUAAAAGU